rnacentral:rRNA from 1 species
AGUGAACGCUGGCGGUAGGCCUAACACAUGCAAGUCGAACGGCAGCACAGAGGAGCUUGCUCCUUGGGUGGCGAGUGGCGGACGGGUGAGGAAUACAUCGGAAUCUACUCUGUCGUGGGGGAUAACGUAGGGAAACUUACGCUAAUACCGCAUACGACCUACGGGUGAAAGCAGGGAACCUUCGGGCCUUGCGCGAUUGAAUGAGCCGAUGUCGGAUUCGCUAGUUGGCGGGGUAAAGGCCCACCAAGGCGACGAUCCGGAGCUGGUCUGAGAGGAUGAUCAGCCACACUGGAAAGGAGACACGGUCCAGACUCCUACGGGAGGCAGCAGUGGGGAAUAUUGGACAAGGGGCGCAAGCCUGAUCCAGCUAUACCGCGUGGGUGAAGAAGGCCUUCGGGUUGUAAAGCCCUUUUGUUGGGAAAGAAAUCCAGCUGGCUAAUACCCGGUUGGGAUGACGGUACCCAAAGAAUAAGCACCGGCUAACUUCGUGCCAGCCGCCGCGGUAA